rnacentral:rRNA from 1 species
GACGGAGGGUGCAAGUGUUAUCCGGAAUCACUGGGCGUAAAGCGUCUGUAGGUGGUUUAAUAAGUCAACUGUUAAAUCUUGAGGCUCAACUUCAAAAUCGCAGUCGAAACUAUUAGACUAGAGUAUAGUAGGGGUAAAGGGAAUUUCCAGUGGAGCGGUGAAAUGCGUAGAGAUUGGAAAGAACACCAAUGGCGAAAGCACUUUACUGGGCUAUCACUGACACUGAGAGACGAAAGCUAGGGUAGCAAAUGGG